rnacentral:tRNA from 1 species
ACAGUGGUGGCUCAGUGGUAGAAUUCUUGCCUUCCAUGCAGGAGACCUGGGUUCAAUUCCCAGCCAAGGCA